AUGGACCGGAUCACGCAGCUCUCAGGUGCCAGGUUUUGUGGCGUCUGUCCUCCAGCACCCGGCAGCCUCCCGGGGCUCCGAGCAGCCCCGAUCCCGAGACUGCGUUCCGGGCCACAAGGUGUUAAACCGUGGUGGCAGCGGGGUCCGGAGUCCCUCCCUCCUUCCCUCCCUCCCGGCGUCCCCAGCUCGGAGUCUACGCGGCUGGCGCGCAAGGAGUUAAGUCUGCCCGCAAUCUGCAAGACUGGAGUCGGGGAGGGGGAGGAGGGGGGAGAGGAGGAGGGGGGGAGAGAAGAAGGGGGAAGCAGACUGCAGGGAGACAGCGCCAGGAACCCCCUCCCCAGGGACCUGGCCCCUGGGCCCCCAGCCCCAAAAGAGGCCCUGCCCUCCCCGGGGUCGUGCUCCCUUCCCCCGCCCAGCCUCCGCCCUCCAGCUUUGUGUCCCCAGGAGGGUGGGCUGCAGGAUUUCCAGCCAAGCCUUGGCUGCCUGCUCAGUUUUUCCAAACCCUCCAGUCGGGGAAGGCGGGAGCCCUGUCAGGAUAAGAGUCCCUCCCCCACUGCCCCCGCCGGCCCCCUCUCCCAGCCUCCUUUUUCCUGCCCCCCACCCCCGCACCUCUCCCAAACUUCUUUCCCGUUCCUAUCCUGGCCCCUGCGCCCCCUAGCCCCACCUCUAUUGGCUCCCAAGUUCCAAGUUCAGGUUGGAGGGGCCAGGUGGGUCCCCGAUUCCCGGCGAGGCGCUGGGAAAGGCAAACUCCGCAGGCCGACACUGAGACCUGCCGGGCGCCCGCCCGACUCGCAGCCUGGCGCCCGCCCCAUCGCAAGACGUGGCCCCAGGUCCACCCGGGAAGGUGGCUCAGGGGGCUCUCCCGCCCCGGGAGGGAGCUGGUGCCGGGGGCGCCGGCAGAGCCGGGCAGCCGACUCUGGGCGGCCGGUGCCAGGCCUCGGGGCACGCUUCGAGGAGGGGGCAAAGUGUUCCGAGCGCUGGCACGGUUCUGUCCAGCAGGUCUAUUAUAUAAUAAUCACCAUCUAUCAGGAAGCCAGGCAGCUGGAGUGA
rnacentral:lncRNA from 1 species